rnacentral:sRNA from 1 species
GUUGCAGGCGACGAUGCAGAGGGCUGUAAGUGUGGUGGCCCAUCUGGGCUCUCGCCUGCAGGCAUUCUCCCCGGCCUUGUGUCGUCCAUUUAGUUGCGCACAGGACACCGCUGUAUGACUUCCACCUGGCCCACGGCGGGAAAAUGGUGGCGUUUGCGGGUUGGAGUCUGCCAGUGCAGUACCGGGACAGUCACACUGACUCGCACCUGCACACACGCCAGCACUGCUCGCUCUUUGACGUGUCUCAUAUGCUGCAGACCAAGAUACUUGGUAGUGACCGGGUGAAGCUGAUGGAGAGUCUAGUGGUUGGAGACAUUGCAGAGCUAAGACCAAACCAGGGGACACUGUCGCUGUUUACCAACGAGGCUGGAGGCAUCUUAGAUGACUUGAUUGUAACCAGUACUUCUGAGGGCCACCUGUAUGUGGUGUCCAACGCUGGCUGCUGGGAGAAAGAUUUGGCCCUCAUGCAGGUAUACCCCCUCUGUGUUCUAGGCACCUUGUCUUCCUUGUUCAUAGAGCAGCAUCCUUGUUAUCCAAGACAGGGUUGGCACAGACAAAGGACCUGGAAAAUGGCUCUUUCAGUGAAUGAACAGCUAUGAGACUCAAGAGCAGGCCCUCUCUGGAGCAUGCCAGGGUUUGGUGGUGGGGGAUUACCAGGCAUGGGGAGGGGGUCUUGGCCCCUCUGGUGUGAGGUGGCAGACCUGGGCUUGGGUCAUCUCUAUCACUUAGUAGCUAUGUGACCUUGUAAGAUGGGAACCAGCCUACUACCUUUUUUUCCUCCCUCCUCCUCCUCCUCUCCACUGUCUUACUACUGUCCAGCUCUGCAGCGUCCAGCCCAUGGUAGCUGCUCAGUAAGUGGCCCCAGAUGCUCUUGUGUUUCUGUCUUUUAGGACAAGGUCAGGGAGCUUCAGAACCAGGGCAGAGAUGUGGGCCUGGAGGUGUUGGAUAAUGCCCUGCUAGCUCUGCAAGGCCCCACUGCAGCCCAGGUACUACAGGCCGGCGUGGCAGAUGACCUGAGGAAACUGCCCUUCAUGACCAGUGCUGUGAUGGAGGUGUUUGGCGUGUCUGGCUGCCGUGUGACCCGCUGUGGCUACACAGGAGAGGAUGGUGUGGAGAUCUCGGUGCCGGUAGCGGGGGCAGUUCACCUGGCAACAGCUCUUCUGAAAAACCCAGAGGUGAAGCUGGCAGGGCUGGCAGCCAGGGACAGCCUGCGCCUGGAGGCAGGCCUCUGCCUGUACGGGAAUGACAUUGAUGAACACACUACACCUGUGGAGGGCAGCCUCAGUUGGACACUGGGGAAGCGCCGCCGAGCUGCUAUGGACUUCCCUGGAGCCAAAGUCAUUGUUCCCCAGCUGAAGGGCAAGGUGCAGCGGAGGCGUGUGGGGUUGAUGUGUGAGGGGGCCCCCAUGCGGGCACACAGUCCCAUCCUGAACAUGGAGGGUACCAAGAUUGGUACUGUGACUAGUGGCUGCCCCUCGCCCUCUCUGAAGAAGAAUGUGGCGAUGGGUUAUGUGCCCUGCGAGUACAGUCGUCCAGGGACAAUGCUGCUGGUAGAGGUGCGGCGGAAGCAGCAGAUGGCUGUAGUCAGCAAGAUGCCCUUUGUGCCCACAAACUACUAUACCCUCAAGUGAAGCUGGCUCAGGGUGGGGCUGUCCCUUCCAGAAGUUUUGCCCCUACAAGGGGUUAGUCAAGAAGCUGAGGCAGAACUCACUGGGGGUGGGCAGUUAAGGUGGAGGCUGAUUCUAAUUGUCUGGCUGAGGGGCCACACCACCUAUUCCCCCCACCUAACUCAUGCCACUCCAGCUUCCUUCAGGACCCUGCUUCUGAGUGACGGACCAGCUCACACAAUGUCUUGUUUCAGUCCAUGAUCCCACUGACCUACUCUUGCCUGCUGGAGGGUAAUGAGAAGCUUUGGUUCUGCCAUCUCUCCCACUCUGCCAGGUGCUGGCUGUGGAGCAAAGGCUCACCUUUGUGGGGAGGAUAAAACCUGCCCAACCUACCUCACCAUGGUUUUUCACAUUGCAAACGGUAAUAACAUGGGCAGUGUGGACUUAGGCUACCCCCUCCAGUUUGCUUUCCGUAAAUGCAAAUUGUCCCUACUGCAAGUCAGGAAUGAUUGCCGACUCACAGUAGGGCUGCUAUGCCUGUGUGUAAACUUGGGGAUGGCUGAGGGAACACAGACUCACUCUUCCGCAUUCCCAAGUUGGUCUAGUGUGCUGCCCAGUAGCAAACCAUGGCAGGCUCACCACCUAUUCUGAGCUCCAGGGCUGUUGUAGGGCAGGGUGGGCUUCCUCCCAGACUUGCCUUACCCUGGGCUGAUCUUUGCCCCUGGUAUGCAUUAAUGGACUCCACUGAAUCCUGAAAAAAAAUUAAACU